CCUGGAUCAGUGGACAGGGAAUAUGAAAGCUCAUUCUUAUCCUCCUCUCUCCGUGGGAGAAAAUUCUGUAAUGAAUUCCAUCGGCAGGCUCUGGCAUGCAGGAAAGUCAGUCCAUUGAAUCGACCCAUUAGUGGACACAGCUUGAGCAGAUUUUUCGUAAACUAGUUGGCAACACUUUCUGUGAGAGUAGCCCAGCUGCCAGCAGGAGAAGAGAAGAAAGACACAUCUGAAGAAAUUCUUUCCUUACAAAGAAAACCUAACAUGGAGGCCUUCACAUGGGAGAAGGCAGAGACCUAUUUCUCUGAAAGAAGACAUGCUGUGUUCCCCUACCACGUGGGUGGGAACAACUUCUUUCUAUUGUCUGUGUAGUUGGAGCGAGCUGCAUCCAAGGAGUCUGAAGUUCACCCACAGGCUCUAGGGGCGGCCAGUGGAGCCCCCGGACCGAGUAGGCCGUGGUGACCUUGGAGGCAGAAUUCUAGGCCAGAGCGAUGUUGCCAGCCUGUCAGGGAAGCUGUGAGAGACCGGGUGCCUGGGGAUUGAGCCUGAUAGGGAACCCUGGUGGGAACUAUCUAGGAAGUGAGCUGAGCUGUGAACCUCACUCCCUGGACAUGGAGGUGAUGUGGGGGGCCGGGGGCAGUGGAGAGCGAAGCCCCUCAGGUGCUGGGAGUGACACUUGUGUUCUUACUGUGUCUUUGAGUAAACGUUCCUUUGUAAAAGCGAAUCUGUCAAGAGGUUAUAUGGCACUGGGGUGCAGAGGACCCCCUAAAACUAGGGGAACACUGUUGGUGGGGCCUGGAGCCAAUGGUGGAGGGACUGAUAGUGGAGAUCCCUGGAGGGAAGGGCCCAAUGUAGCACACCUGGCCUUCAGGCAGUGGGGGCCAGGGUGGCCACUGUUACAGAAGGACUUCAUGAAUAAAUCUGAUUAUUAUGAGUAGUAUAUUGUUA